rnacentral:rRNA from 1 species
AUUGAACGCUGGCGGCAGGCCUAACACAUGCAAGUCGAGCGAGCGGCGGACGGGUGAGUAAUGUCUGGGAAACUGCCUGAUGGAGGGGGAUAACUACUGGAAACGGUAGCUAAUACCGCAUACCAUCAGAUGUGCCCAGAUGGGAUUAGCUAGUAGGUGGGGUAACGGCCCACCUAGGCGACGAUCCCUAGCUGGUCUGCGAGGAUGACCAGCCACACUGGAACGGGGACACGGCCACGCCUCCUACGGGAGGCGGCGGUGGGGAAUAGUGCACAAUGGGCGCGAGCCUGGUGCAGACAUGCCGCGUGUGUGAAGAAGGCCUUCGGGUUGGAAAGCACUUUCAGCGGGAAGGCGUUACCCGCAGAAGAAGCACCGGCUAACUCCGUGCCAGCAGCCGCGGUAAUUC